rnacentral:rRNA from 1 species
ACAUAACUGAUGCCUCCGCGUAUCGACUUUGUGCGCAUUUUAGCUAUUAUGUGUUCUUUUAAUUUAAAUGAUUCUUUUUAAGAUUCAUCUUAUUAAAAAUUUGCCUCGGCAUAAUUUUUUUUGAUGACCUUGUUACUUUGAGUAAAUUAGAGUGUUCAAAGCAAACAGAUAUAGCAUUUGUGCGUUUGAAUACUACAGCAUGGAAUAACAAAAUUGAACAAGUCAGAAUUUUUUUGUUCUUUUUUCUUAUUUUGGCUUAGUUACGAUUAAUAGGAGUAGCUUGGGGGGCAUUUGUAUUCAGAUGUCAGAGGUGAAAUUCUUAGAUUUUCUGGAGACAAACAACUGCGAAAGCAUUUGCCUAAAAUACUUCCAUUAAUCAAGAACGAAAGUUAAGGGAGUGAAGACGAUCAGAUACCGUCGUAAUCUUAACCAUAAACUAUGCCGACUAGGCUUUGGAUGAAAGAUUUUAAAAUAAGAGUUUUUCUUUUCUCUCCGGAGAUUAGAACUCUUAGAUUGCUUCCUUCAGUGCCUUAUGAGAAAUCAAAGUCUUUGGGUUCUGGGGCGAGUAUUCGCGCAAGCGAGAAAGUUAAAAGAAUUGACGGAAGGGCACCACCAGGCGUGGAGCUUGCGGCUUAAUUUGACUCAACACGGGAAAACUCACUAGUUUAAGACAAGAGUAGGAUUGACAGAUUAAUAGCUCUUUCUUGAUUUCUUGGAUGGUGAUGCAUGGCCGUUUUUAGUUCGUGAAUAUGAUUUGUCUGGUUAAUUCCGAUAACGAACGAGAUCUUAACCUGCUAAUUAGCGGCAAAUACGAUAUAUUCUUAUGUAGAAUUGAAUAUAGUGGAUUUGUUGGAUUUUGAAGAAAAUAUUGGAAUUACGUUAAAUGUGAUUCCUUUCCCUUUUCUACUUAAUUUACAUUUCCAUCUAUUUCUUUUUUGCGUAUGAAUGUAUUUGCUUGAUUGUAAAGCUUCUUAGAGGAACGAUGUGUG